UGGGAAAGGACCGCACGAUGAAAAGAGA
rnacentral:misc_RNA from 1 species